GGGGAUAUAGUUCAGUGGUAGAGCGCUCCCUUAACAUGCGAGAAAUCUGGGGUUCAAUUCUCCAUAUCUCCG
rnacentral:tRNA from 1 species